rnacentral:tRNA from 1 species
GGGUGUGUAGCUCAGUUGGCUAGAGCGUUACGUUGACAUCGUAGAGGUCGUUGGUUCGAGCCCGAUCACACCCACCA